CUGCUUCGAAUGCGGGAAGCCACGCUGUGUCUACUCUCUGAGAAAGCUAUCAUCUAGAGACCUUCGAUCAUUGAACAGGAUCAAGGAACGUUACGAUUACACAUGUGGUUCAGUCAUUGUACCCGAAGGCGAUUCUCUGGAGGGUGUAGUAAGCGUGCGACUGCAGAUGGACUGUUCUACUCCUAUCGAGUUUCCUUACUAUGCAGGCAACAACCCGGUGGCGGUGCGAAAAGACAUAUGUUGUCAUUGCGGGGAAGGAGGCACUGAGAGAGAUGCUGCAUUGUUACAAAAAUACAAGACUGUUCUGCCAGUUUGUAGAGCUUGCUAACUGAUAAAAGACAUUCCAAAAAGAAAUCCUAUCAAGUAGACAGUGGAUUGUGACUUGACUCCUAACAUAUAAUGUACUAAUAAGACAGUUCUUUGUUUAAGAGUUCAAUGUGAACAUUCUUAAGACAGUUCUUUGUUUAAGAGUUCAAUGUGAACAUUCUUAAACCCAAGUUCGAUAUAAAUAGCAUUAUAAUUAUGCAACUGUUUGUUUUCUAGUCAGACAUUUUUAGUCUUCUAGUCGGACAUUUUUGUGUGUUCUACACAUGUAACUAAAGAAAUUGUAUCUGUUAAAGGAUUGUCCCAAGAAUUUCACAAGUAUUUUAAUAAUUGUGCACAAUUCUUGGCCAUACUGUUCUUGUUUUUUUAAGAGUUGUGAACAUUCCAAAACCAAGUUCGAUGUAAAUAGCAUGAUAAUUAUGCCACUGUAUGUUUUCUAGUCAGACAUUUCUAGUCUUCUAGUCAGACAUUUUUGUGUGUUCUACACAUGUAACUAAAGAAAUUGUAUCUGUUAAAGGAUUGUCCCAAGAAUGUCACAAGUAUUUUUAUAACUGUGCACAAUUCUUGUCCAUACAUGUGUAUCAGUUUUCUGCUAUAAAUAAAUGGUAAAGUUGUUA